rnacentral:rRNA from 1 species
GACGAACCGUCCUAACGUUGUUCGGAAUUACUGGGCGUAAAGGGCUCGUAGGCGGCCAACUAAGUCAGACGUGAAAUCCCUCGGCUUAACCGGGGAACUGCGUCUGAUACUGGAUGGCUUGAGGUUGGGAGAGGGAUGCGGAAUUCCAGGUGUAGCGGUGAAAUGCGUAGAUAUCUGGAGGAACACCGGUGGCGAAGGCGGGUCUCUGGACAGUUCCUGACGCUGAGGCACGAAGGCCAGGGGAGCAAACGGG